rnacentral:rRNA from 1 species
CAGUCGCCACGGGAAUACGGAGGGGGCUAGCGUUGUUCGGAAUUACUGGGCGUAAAGCGCACGUAGGCGGCUUUUUAAGUCAGAGGUGAAAGCCCGGGGCUCAACUCCGGAACUGCCUUUGAGACUGGAAGGCUUGAACGUCGGAGAGGUGAGUGGAAUUCCGAGUGUAGAGGUGAAAUUCGUAGAUAUUCGGAAGAACACCAGUGGCGAAGGCGGCUCACUGGACGACUGUUGACGCUGAGGUGCGAAAGCGUGGGGAGCAAACAGGAUUAGAUACCCCAGUAGUCCCUGUCUCUUAUAC